rnacentral:tRNA from 1 species
GGGGAGAAUUCUUAUGUUGGUUUUAAGAGGUGAGUUGUAGCCUCAUUAGGUCAAUCCUAUCGCAGGUUCGAUUCCUGCUCUCCUCA